AUAAGUAAGAUCCAAGUCUGGUUUGGGAAUGCCUUGUGUGCAAACCAGACAAGGAGUGGGGCAAUUGCUCCCCCCAAGAAGAACCAGUUUAUCGCCGAGUAAGUUCCUAAGUCCCCAAAAAUUCUGCGUGGGCCAAUAAGACCCCAUAUGACUGAUGCAUCGUAGAACACAUGAUCACCAGGGCAGGUCCAAGGGCUGCCUGAUGAAAGGAGCUCACUGUUGCAGAUGUUGGGGAUUGUGUCCAUCAGCCACCAUGCUGUUCCAAGGUACACAAAUGCUGCAAUCAGAGUUCCGACCACCUGUCAUGUUCCAAGAGGUUGCUUAGUGAACACAAUAUGACAGGACCUUGUGUGCAUUUGUGUGGUAGAAAUGGCAGAUAAACUAUAUGGCUAAUAGCUUACCUGAGCCAUGAACAUAGUCCUUGGUGGAAUUUUCAUAUAGUGGCCCAACUUAAAAUCCUGGAGAAACGUCAGAGCUUGGGUCAUGCUGAUGUAGCCAUAUACCUUGAAACACAUAUUCGCGACGGGUCGUCCAGGGUACAAGUACCCAAUGAUGUACUCUGUGAUGAUGUUCAAUCCUGGAGUCUGCAUAAAUAAACAUACAACAGAAGAAUAAAAAACAUGGAACUGGUGCUCUAGUUCUGUAUGGCAUAAUAUGCAAAUCUUUAGAAUCCAUACCUGGUUCGUUGUUGCUGUGAUAAUUCCGACUGGGAGGGUGAAGAAAAAGGCAAUGGCACAUGCGAGCAAUACACCCCACCAGGGCAAUUGGAGUUGCUCAAUGUAGUAUUCGCAAGCAAAUACCGUGAUGGCAAUGUUGGCAAUAAGGAUGCAGAUGAACCACCACUCAGGAACCUGCUUGUAUCUCCUCAUAAGUUUUGUAUGUACAUCCAGUUUCUUCCCUUGAAAAGCUGAUUUACUUAACUGCAAAAUUUCACUGCACAAAAGCAUCAUGAUUCUUAGCUGUUGCCAUCAUGUGAUUCUGCAAAACUGACUGACAAAUUUUGGCAGGAUUUACCUUCCGUGGAAGAGGAGAACGUGAACGAUUGUUGCGGUAAGGGAUGCGAAACCGACACCAUAUGUGACAGAGAAAAAAGUGCUGAGGUAUAGUGGACCAUUCUUCUCGUAGGCCUCUGUGUCGAAAUGGAAAUGCUCGUCCACGAUGGUUGUGAUGUUGUACUUGUGCCCAGAUUCAGUGAAGAGCCCAGAGGAGAAGAUGGGGAAGUUCCGUGCUUUAUAGAAAUUAAACCAGUAGGCGAUGGGUGUGAAUACGUACAUGAUGGUGAGGAAGCCUACAGCGAUGUUUGCAGUGGCGAACCAAGGGCUGGCAAGAGGGCUCCCGAGGUAGGAGGAAACAGAUGCCCAGUCGAGACCGAUGGUGCCGAUGCCCAGUCCCUUUAGACCUGAGCCGAGCUGCUGGGCGAACACGGAGUUCGGGUACAGCCAGCAGAUCCAGGAGAGAGAGGUGAGCAUCUGGAACAAGUAGCCUGGGAAGACGUAGUAUGCGAAGCUGCAGACGAAUGCCACCACGAAGAACUGGCUGCGUGUGAGGCCGCCUUUGCUCAGCUUUUCCUUCUCAUGAAGCGCCCUGGUCAGAAUUUUCAACUCCUUUUAGCUAAAAUAAAAUUCAAAUGUGCAAGUUCGUUGUUUAUUUUUAGAUAAGCCAAAGGUUAUUCAACUCCUUCCCUUUUUUCCCCACUGUUUGAAUCAUCGUUUCUUACGUUUAUCAUGAUUUAGUAUCUUUUAAUUUGACAGUAGUCAUGAUUUCUGGGUCAUUCAUGCACGAGCUCCAUAGUAAUAAUAUAUAUCUAAACUAUCAAGUCAAUGGUAAUCUCAUAUACUUGUAUUCUUUUAUAAUAAUCUGGCAUGGACAAAAAUCUCGCGUGGCAUGUAAUCUGGCAUGCGUGUUUCACAAGCUGAAAGCUGAAGCUGUCGCCACGAGCAUGGCUGAUUGGCUGGUCGGAUGAUCCCAUCACUAUCAACAGUACUCCUUUUCGUAAUUUCGUUUCUUGUCAUCAUUUCAUUUUCUCAGUUAGAAAUCCCAAACUAACACUCUAACUAACUAAACCAAUGUUCCUACUCUUCCAUGCUAGGCCACUCUGACGUGUCAUCACACAUCACAGCUAACUAACGAGCUACUGGUCUUUACUACUCCUAGCUACUUGCAAUUAGUUGAGGAAUGCAUACAUAACCAACUACUAGCUAGUAACAUGCACGGAUUGUUUAUAUAUACACACAUUGCUUGCAAAAUUAAAGCACUAGCUUGCACGUCAUGAAAUGUUUAUCUUUUCUAAAUCAUGUGGGGACUCUAUUCAUCAUCAAUCGGUCAACUCUCUAUUCAUCAUCGAUAAAACAGUAUGAAAUAUUUAGCUAGUUAAUUAGUUAAACUAAGCAACUACGUAAUAAUGUCAUUAGAAGUUGAAAAAUGGAUUAUUGCUUGCCGGCGGAAGAAAGAAAUAAAGGAAGGAAGAAAACGCAGUAAGGUACCUGAAGAGGGAGACCUGGACGAGGUUGGUCGGCCACCACAUGGCCGCCGGCUCAACAAGAUACCGCCGGA
rnacentral:lncRNA from 1 species